CAGAAAGCCCCGGCUAACUACGUGCCAGCAGCCGCGGUAAUACGUAGGUGGCAAGCGUUGUCCGGAAUUAUUGGGCGUAAAGCGCACGCAGGCGGUUUUUUAAGUCUGAUGUGAAAGCCCCCGGCUCAACCGCGGAGGGUCAUUGGAAACUGGGAAACUUGAGUGCAGAAGAGGAAAGUGGAAUUCCACGUGUAGCGGUGAAAUGCGUAGAGAUGUGGAGGAACACCAGUGGCGAAGGCGA
rnacentral:rRNA from 1 species